rnacentral:rRNA from 1 species
UACGUAGGGUGCGAGCGUUGCCCGGAUUUAUUGGGCGUAAAGAGCGCGUAGGCGGCUCGGCACGUCCGUUGUGAAAUCGCCCGGCUCAACUGGGCGGGGUCAGCGGAUACGGUCGAGCUUGAGCAAGCUAGGGGGCAAUGGAAUUCCCGGUGUAGUGGUGGAAUGCGUAGAUAUCGGGAGGAACACCAGUGGCGAAGGCGGUUGCCUGGAGCUUUGCUGACGCUGAGGCGCGAAAGCGUGGGGAGCGAUCCGG